rnacentral:misc_RNA from 1 species
AAAAAAAGUAAAAAAACGCUAACCGAUUAUGGGACACAGCUCAGUCUCAUUGGAGCUCAACCCCAUGUUAAGGUUUCCCGUCUCUUAUCAGAUAUGACUUCAGCUUGCCAGUCUGAGACAAACUUGCAAUUGCAAUAAGAAUGAGCCCUCUAAUCAUAGCUUUAACAUGACUAUUGGCUACAUAAUUUACAGUCAUAGUCAUGGGCCUUUAUGUUAUUCAAACCAUCGGCUUUUAUGUGUCAAGACUCGAGACAUUAUACCCACUCCAUGAUCAUGCAAGCUUCAGCACAGCUAU